rnacentral:rRNA from 1 species
AGAACGAACGCUGGCGGCAUGCCUAACACAUGCAAGUCGAACGCUCUUGGGGCUUCGGUUCCAAGGGAGUGGCGCACGGGUGAGUAGCGCGUGGGAACCUGCCCUGGAGUGGGGGAUAACCGAGGGAAACUUCGGCUAAUACCGCAUACGCCGGGAAACCGGGAAAGAUUUAUCGCUCUAGGAGGGGCCCGCGUCGGAUUAGGUAGUUGGUGGGGUAACGGCUUACCAAGCCUGUGAUCCGUAGCUGGUCUGAGAGGAUGAUCAGCCACACUGGGACUGAGACACGGCCCAGACUCCUACGGGAGGCAGCAGUGGGGAAUAUUGGACAAUGGGCGCAAGCCUGAUCCAGCAAUGCCGCGUGAGUGAUGAAGGCCUUCGGGUUGUAAAGCUCUUUCGCACGCGAGGAUGAUGACGCUAGCGUGAGAAGAAGCCCCGGCUAACUUCGCGCCAGCAGCCGC